GAUGAACGCUGGCGGCGUGCCUAAUACAUGCAAGUCGAGCGAAAAGACGAGGAGCUUGCUCCUCUGACGUUAGCGGCGGACGGGUGAGUAACACGUGGAUAACCUACUUAUAAUACUGGGAUAACUUCGGGAAACCGGAGACAAUAACAGCUCAUAUAUUGAACCGCAUGGUUCAAUAGUGCAAGACGGCUUUGCUGUUUCUUAUAGACGGAUCCGGGCCGGAUUAGCUAGUUGGUAAGGUAACGGCUUACCAAGGCAACGAUGCGUAGCCGACCUGAGAGGGUGAUCGGCCACACUGGAACUGAGACACGGUCCAGACUCCUACGGGAGGCAGCAGUAGGGAAUCUUCGGCAAAGGGCGAAAGCCUGACGCAGCAACGCCGCGUGAGUGAUGAAGGUCUUCGGAUCGUAAAGCUCUUUUAUUAGGGAAGAACAGAUGUGUAAGUAACUAUGCACGUCUUGACGGUACCUAAUCAGAAAGCCACGGCUAACUACGUG
rnacentral:rRNA from 1 species